AUUGAACGCUGGCGGCAGGCUUAACACAUGCAAGUCGAGCGGUAGCACAGGGGAGCUUGCUCCCUGGGUGACGAGCGGCGGACGGGUGAGUAAUGUCUGGGAAACUGCCUGAUGGAGGGGGAUAACUACUGGAAACGGUAGCUAAUACCGCAUAACGUCGCAAGACCAAAGAGGGGGACCUUCGGGCCUCUUGCCAUCAGAUGUGCCCAGAUGGGAUUAGCUAGUAGGUGGGGUAAUGGCUCACCUAGGCGACGAUCCCUAGCUGGUCUGAGAGGAUGACCAGCCACACUGGAACUGAGACACGGUCGAGACUCCUACGGGAGGCAGCAGUGGGGAAUAUUGCACAAUGGGCGCAAGCCUGAUGCAGCCAUGCCGCGUGUGUGAAGAAGGCCUUCGGGUUGUAAAGCACUUUCAGCGAGGAGGAAGGUGGUGAACUUAAUACGCUCAUCAAUUGACGUUACUCACAGAAGAAGCACCGGCUAACUCCGUGCCAGCAGCCGCGGUAA
rnacentral:rRNA from 1 species